ensembl:lncRNA TMEM147-AS1 TMEM147 antisense RNA 1
AGCGCUUUGGGGAGUGACUUCCGGCCAUGCGGGGCCUCUACCGCUGCCAUCGCGGUCCCGGUCUCCUGAAGUGGAACCCGGCUUGGAGUCGAGCGCGACCCCUCGCCCGUGGGCGCAGGCGAUCGAGUAAGGGUGGGGCGGGCCUCAAACCCGGAUCAGAACCCGCCCUGACCGGCGCAGAGAUACGGGACGCAGCCUAAGCAAGGCCCGGGAAGAAGUUGGGUUUCCCUGCCAUCCUUCCUGCCCCAGCCCCUCAUCCUCAACUCACCAUCAACCCUUCCACGAUCCCAAAUCGCUCGUGGAUGACUUUGGCGAGGGGAGCCAAACAGUUGGUGGUGCAGGACGCGUUGCUGAAACAGCCAAGGUGUGCACGGACACUGUGAGGUGGUGACCUCCCCAACUCAGCCCUCAACCUCCUCAGAGGCGCCAAUGCUGACUGCUGUCAGCCAGCCCAGACCCUUUCUCCAUAUGCUGCCCGGGACGUGGACUCUGUGACUGUGAGGCCUGCCCGGCUGCUUUCUGCUUCCCAGCUCUGACAACCUCGCCAUGAACCCUCCUAGACCCUCAGCUCCUGCAAUAGGAAGCUGGCUGCCAAAGGCCAGGAGGGUCCCUGAAAACAGACACUGCAUUAAAGAAAAAGCUCCUGGAGGACUCCUGAAGCCUGAGGCAGCCUUGGGGCAGCAGUGGCUCAUGGUUUACAUUGGAAAGGUUUAUCAUGAGUAACCGGGUGCUUUGCUUCUGUGAUUCUUGGCCAGUGUCGGUCUGUUUCCUUUGCCAUUGAGCCUGCUCCCCUCAAUGGGGGGUUCAAUCAAUGUUUGUGGGGUUUGUUUGUUUUGAGACAGGGUCUUCCUCUGUCGCCCAGGCUGGAGUGCAGUGGUGCAAUCAGAGCUCACUGCAGCCUUGAUCUUCCUGGCUCCGGCCAUCCUCCUGCCUUGGCCUCCCGAGUAGCUGGGACUACAGGCGCACACCACCAUGCCAAGCUAAUUUUUAAAUUUUUUUGUAGAGAUGGGGUCUCACUUUUGUUGCCCAGGGUGCUUUAGAACCCCUGGGCUCAAGUGAUCCUUGACCUCCCACAGUGCUGGGAUUACAGGUGUGAGCCACCGUGCCUGGCCUCAUGGGUUUUCUUUGUUUUGUUUUGUUUUGUUUUUGAGACAGAGUCUCACUCUGUCACUCAGGCUGGAGUGCAGUGGCACGAUUUUGGCUCACUGCAACCUCCACCUUCCGGGUUCAAGCGAUUCUCCUGCCUCCGCCUCCCGAGUAGUUGGGGUUACAGGCAUGCGCUACCACACCUGGCUAGUUUUUUAUUGUUGUUGUUUUUUGUAUUUUUAGUGGUGACGGGGUUUGCUCUGUUGGCCAGGCUGGUCUCAAACUCCUGACCUCAGGUGAUCCCCACUUCAGCCUCCCAAAGUGCUGGGAUGACAGGCAUGAGCCUCUGCACCUGGCCUCGUGUUUUUUUUUUAGUUAGCCAUUUUAUACGUGUUUACUGAACACCUGUCCUGUGCCCAUAUUCUAAGUGCCUUACCUGCAUUAAACUCAUGUAACCUUCACAACCCGA